rnacentral:misc_RNA from 1 species
AUGCGAUAAGUAAUGUGAAUUGCAGAAUUCAGUGAAUCAUCGAAUCUUUGAACGCACAUUGCGCCCAUUAGUAUUCUAGUGGGCAUGCCUGUUCGAGCGUCAUUUCAACCCUUAAGCCUAGCUUAGUGUUGGGAGACUGCCUAAUACGCAGCUCCUCAAAACCAGUGGCGGAGUCGGUUCGUGCUCUGAGCGUAGUAAUUUUUUAUCUCGCUUCUGCAAGCCGGACUGGCAACAGCCAAAAACCGCACCCCUCGGGGGCACUUUUUAAUGGUUGACCUCGGAUCAGGUAGGAAUACCCGCUGAACUUAA